AUUGAACGCUGGCGGCAUGCUUUACACAUGCAAGUCGAACGGCAGCGCGGGCUUCGGCCUGGCGGCGAGUGGCGAACGGGUGAGUAAUGCAUCGGAACGUGCCCAGUAGUGGGGGAUAGCCCGGCGAAAGCCGGAUUAAUACCGCAUACGACCUGAGGGUGAAAGCGGGGGACCGAAAGGCCUCGCGCUAUUGGAGCGGCCGAUGUCGGAUGAGCUAGUUGGUGGGGUAACGGCUUACCAAGGCGACGAUCCGUAGCUGGUCUGAGAGGACGACCAGCCACACUGGGACUGAGACACGGCACAGACUCCUACGGGAGGCAGCAGUGGGGAAUUUUGGACAAUGGGGGCAACCCUGAUCCAGCCAUGCCGCGUGCGGGAAGAAGGACUUCGGGUUGUAAAGCGCUUUUGUUCGGGAAGAAAUACUCUGGGCUAAUACCCCGGGGGGAUGACGGUACCGGAAGAAUAAGCACCGGCUAACUACGUG
rnacentral:rRNA from 1 species